GGCACUUUGGCGGAGUGGUUAACGCGCGGGCCUGCUAAGCUCGUUCCUUCGGGAGCGUGUGUUCGAAUCACACAGGUGUCG